CCUACGGGAGGCAGCAGUGAGGAAUAUUGGUCAAUGGGCGCGAGCCUGAACCAGCCAAGUAGCGUGAAGGAUGACUGCCCUACGGGUUGUAAACUUCUUUUAUAAAGGAAUAAAGUGAGGCACGUGUGCCUUUUUGUAUGUACUUUAUGAAUAAGGAUCGGCUUACUCCGUGCCAGCAGCCGCGGUAAUACGGAGGAUCCGAGCGUUAUCCGGAUUUCUUGGGGUUAAAGGGAGAGGAGAUGGGUUGUUAAGUCAGUGGUUAAAGUUUGCGGGUCAACCGUAAAAUUGCAAUUGAUACUGGCAGUCUUGAGUGCAGUUGAGGUAGGCGGAAUUCGUGGUGUAGCGGUGAAAUGCUUAGAUAUCACGAAGAACUCCGAUUGCGAAGGCAGCUUACUAACCUGCCACUGACAUUGAUGCUCGAAAGUGUGGGUAUCAAACAGGAUUAGAUACCCCGGUAGUC
rnacentral:rRNA from 1 species